UGAGGAAUCUUCCACAAUGGGCGAAAGCCUGAUGGAGCAACGCCGCGUGCAGGAUGAAGGCCUUCGGGUCGUAAACUGCUUUUAUAAGUGAAGAAUAUGACGGUAACUUAUGAAUAAGCACCGGCUAACUACGUGCCAGCAGCCGCGGUCAUACGUAGGGUGCAAGCAUUAUCCGGAGUGACUGGGCGUAAAGAGUUGCGUAGGUGGUUUGUUAAGUGAAUAGUGAAAUCUGGUGGCUCAACCAUACAGACUAUUAUUCAAACUGACAAGCUCGAGAAUAGCAGAGGUAACUGGAAUUUCUAGUGUAGGAGUGAAAUCCGUAGAUAUUAGAAGGAACACCAAUGGCGUAGGCAGGUUACUGGGCUAUUUCUGACACUAAUGCACGAAAGCGUGGGGAGCGAACC
rnacentral:rRNA from 1 species